rnacentral:rRNA from 1 species
CCUACGGGUGGCAGCAGUGGGGGAUAUUGCACAAUGGGGGAAACCCUGAUGCAGCGACGCCGCGUGUGGGAAGACGGUCCUCUGGAUUGUAAACCACUGUCCCCAGGGACGAAGAUGACGGUACCGGGGGAGGAAGCUCCGGCUAACUACGUGCCAGCAGCCGCGGUAAUACGUAGGGAGCGAGCGUUGUCCGGAAUUAUUGGGUGUAAAGGGAGCGUAGGCGGGACUGCAAGUUGGGUGUCAAAUCUACCGGCUCAACCGGUAGCCGCACUCAAAACUGCAGUUCUUGAGUGAAGUAGAGGCAGGCGGAAUUCCUGGUGUAGCGGUGAAAUGCGUAGAUAUUGGGAGGAACACCAGUGGCGAAGGCGGCCUGCUGGGCUUUUACUGACGCUGAGGCUCGAAAGUGUGGGGAGCGAACAGGAUUAGAUACCCUAGUAGUC